CCUGAGAGAGAGCAAAAGUCAUCUGUAUGAACCGUCUGGAGCAAGUCCCUGGCUGUGUGGAAGGAGUAUUGCUCAAACUUCAGAAGAGUCUGCUUUAUAUACUUCCAGCAGAAAUGCCACAUUUCUGGUUUCUUUCACCAGCUGAAGGUGAACAGAUUUGAAGAAGUCUUUCAAACACGUUGGGGAUCAAACUGAGUUUUCACUGCGAGAUGGGGAAAAAAAUCACACUUGCUUUGGUGUCCAGAAGAAAGGCAGGUGUCAAGAGGUGCAAUGCUUCAUUUUAAAGUCACACUAGUCACAUGCAGCCUUUUCCCCACUGCACAGAAGUAGGCGAUACACCAGGGCAAGCUUGACAAUUCACCUCCAUGAGUGGAUUUUGUUUGUUCACUCCUACAAGCAAGUUCCAUGUCCCCAGAGAGUCCGCCCUGCUGCAGCUGAAACCC
rnacentral:lncRNA from 1 species